CGGCGGACGGGUGAGUAACACGUAGGCAACCUGCCCGCAAGACCGGGAUAACGUAGGGAAACUUACGCUAAUACCGGAUAGGGCACUCUCUCGCAUGAGAGGGUGCGGAAAGGUGGCGCAAGCUACCACUUGCGGNNGGGCCUGCGGCGCAUUNNNUAGUUGGNNNGGUAACGGCCUACCAAGGCGACGAUGCGUAGCCGACCUGAGAGGGUGACCGGCCANNCUGGGACUGAGACACGGCCCAGACUCCUACGGGAGGCAGCAGUAGGGAAUUUUNCNCAAUGGGCGAAAGCCUGAUGGAGCAACGCCGCNNGAACGAUGANNGUCUUCGGAUUGUAAAGUUCUGUUGUCAGGGNNNAACAAGUACNNUUCGAACAGGGCGGUACCUUGACGGUACCUGACGAGAAAGCCCCGGCUAACUACGUGCCAGCAGCCGCGGUAAUACGUAGGGGGCAAGCGUUGUCCGGAAUUAUUGGGCGUAAAGCGCGCGCAGGCGGUCGGGUAAGUCUGAUGUUAAAGCCCGGGGCUCAACCCCGGUUCGCAUUGGAAACUGCUCGACUUGAGUGCAGAAGAGGAAAGCGGAAUUCCACGUGUAGCGGUGAAAUGCGUAGAGAUGUGGAGGAACACCAGUGGCGAAGGCGGCUUUCUGGUCUGUAACUGACGCUGAGGCGCGAAAGCGUGNGGAGCAAACAGGNNNAGAUACCCUGGUAGUCCACGCCGU
rnacentral:rRNA from 1 species